rnacentral:ncRNA from 4 species
GGUCCUGAGCGCCAGCGUCAAGCCCCGGCUUGCUGGCCGGCAACCCUCCUCCGCGGUGGGGUGCCCCGGGUGUGACCAGGCCCGCGGCGAACCCGCCGUCGGCAAGUGCGGACC